rnacentral:rRNA from 1 species
CCUACGGGUGGCAGCAGUGGGGGAUAUUGCACAAUGGGGGAAACCCUGAUGCAGCGACGCCGCGUGAGCGAUGAAGUAUUUCGGUGUGUAAAGCUCUAUCAGCAGGGAAGAAAAUGACGGUACCUGACUAAGAAGCUACGGCUAACUACGUGCCAGCAGCCGCGGUAAUACGGCGGGGGCAAGCGUUAUCCGGAUUUACUGGGUGUAAAGGGAGCGUAGACGGCAGUGCAAGUCUGAAGUGAAAGUGAACGGCUCAACCCUUGGACUGCUUUUGAAACUGUGCUGCUGGAGUGUCGGAGAGGCGAGUGGAAUUCGUGGUGUAGCGGUGAAAUGCGUAGAUAUUAGGAGGAACACCAGUGGCGAAGGCGGCUUGCUGGACUACGACUGACGCUGAGGCUCGAAAGCGUGGGUAGCAAACAGGAUUAGAUACCCGAGUAGUC